rnacentral:rRNA from 1 species
GGGCUGCGGUAAUUUGACCGUGCGAAGGUAGCAUAAUCAAUAGUCUUUUAAUUGAUGACUGGAAUGAACGGCGUUACGAGAAAUAAGCUGUCUUUUAGGCACAAAUUGAAUUUUACUUUCAAGUGAAAAGGCUUGAAUAGAAUUAAGGGACGAUAAGACCCUAUAAAACUUAACAUAAUAUCUCUUUUGGUAAUUUGAAGUGAAGUUAAAAUUGAAGUUAUACUGUUUGGUUGGGGCGACCUAGAUAUAAUUAAGUAGCUGUCUAAAAAUAAAAAUAAUAAUAAUUUGUUUUGUGAACCUUUAUUAAGGAUUAAAAAAUUAAGUUACUUUAGGGAUAACAGCGUAAUUUUUUCAGAGAGUUCUUAUCGAAGAAAGUAGUUGCGACCUCGAUGUUGAAUUAAAAUUUCUUUUAAAUGAAGCAGUUUAAAUAGUGGGUCUGUUCGACCUUUAAAAUUU